rnacentral:rRNA from 2 species
UGACGAGUGGCGGACGGGUGAGUAAUGCUUGGGAACUUGCCUUUGCGAGGGGGAUAACAGUUGGAAACGACUGCUAAUACCGCAUAAUGUCUUCGGACCAAACGGGGCUUCGGCUCCGGCGCAAAGAGAGGCCCAAGUGAGAUUAGCUAGUUGGUAAGGUAACGGCUUACCAAGGCGACGAUCUCUAGCUGUUCUGAGAGGAAGAUCAGCCACACUGGGACUGAGACACGGCCCAGACUCCUACGGGAGGCAGCAGUGGGGAAUAUUGCACAAUGGGGGAAACCCUGAUGCAGCCAUGCCGCGUGUGUGAAGAAGGCCUUCGGGUUGUAAAGCACUUUCAGUUGUGAGGAAAAGUUAGUAGUUAAUACCUGCUAGCCGUGACGUUAACAACAGAAGAAGCACCGGCUAACUCCGUGCCAGCAGCCGCGGUAAUACGGAGGGUGCGAGCGUUAAUCGGAAUUACUGGGCGUAAAGCGCACGCAGGCGGUUUGUUAAGCUAGAUGUGAAAGCCCCGGGCUCAACCUGGGAUGGUCAUUUAGAACUGGCAGACUAGAGUCUUGGAGAGGGGAGUGGAAUUCCAGGUGUAGCGGUGAAAUGCGUAGAUAUCUGGAGGAACAUCAGUGGCGAAGGCGACU